CAAAGUCAUGUUAUUUAUUAAUCGAAAAACAGAAGCAGUUAUAUUUUAUUAGUGCUACUAGAAGUCGAGAAAUUAUUCCGACUGCAACGCAGAUUAAAUCUACGGAUUUAAUUUAAGUUAUAUUACAGUUUAUCAAGUUAGCAGGCAAGGAAAAAGAUAUCAAGCAAGAUACAGAAAUGCGAUGAUUGAAAAUCGAAGCCAGUAUUUUAUUACAGUUACAGAAUCACCGAGACAUAGAAUAUACAUCAUUAAUCCUCCACUACAUUUUUUCCCCACCACACUCAAGUGCACCACUACUCUUUUUCUCACCAACUCCACUCAAAUAUUUAUUUGUUUGGCACCAAAUAAGUGGGUUGUCACCUUUUCCACCGAAAGCCAUGCCUUUCACCUGUCAAUCAGCCAACAAUUCUUUUCAUAUAAUCUCAUUAUCAGCAGCAACUCUCUCCAUUCUGCACUAAUAACCCACGUGAAAGAGGAACUCCAUUCAUUGCUAUUCUGCCUGCCAAACUUUAGAGUGUAUCUAUCCACUGAUUCAAUAUCAAUAACAGCAGCCACCAACACCAAAUAUUUGCAGGUCAAGCGCGAGAGUAAGAACUACACAAGGAGUUAGAGUACCUUAGCAAAACUUUGCUAUCAGGU